CCUACGGGUGGCAGCAGUGAGGAAUAUUCGUCAAUGGGCGGAAGCCUGAACCAGCCAAGUAGCGUGCAGGAUGACGGCCCUACGGGUUGUAAACUGCUUUUAUACGGGAAUAACGCGCCUUACGUGUAGGGCUUUGCAUGUACCGUAUGAAUAAGGACCGGCUAAUUCCGUGCCAGCAGCCGCGGUAAUACGGAAGGUCCGGGCGUUAUCCGGAUUUAUUGGGUUUAAAGGGAACGUAGGCCGCAUGUCAAGCGUGCUGUGAAAUGUCCGGGCUCAACCCGGGCCUUGCAGCGCGAACUGGCGAGCUUGAGUCCGCGGAAGGCAGGCGGAAUUCGACGUGUAGCGGUGAAAUGCUUAGAUAUGACGAAGAACCCCGAUUGCGAAGGCAGCUUGCUGCAGCGGAACUGACGCUGAUGCUCGAAAGCGCGGGUAUCGAACAGGAUUAGAUACCCGAGUAGUC
rnacentral:rRNA from 1 species